GCUGUUGCGUGUGUCUGUAGUCCCAGCUACUCGGGAGCCUGAAGCAGGAAGAUCGCUUGGGUCCGGGAGUUCUGGGCUGUUGUGCUCUAUGCUGACUGAGUGUCUGCGCUAAGUUUGGCAUGAAUAUGGUGAUCUCCCAGGAAUGGAGGACCACCAGGGUGCUUAAGGAGGGGUGAACCAGCCCAGGUCCAAAACAGAGCAGGUCAAAACUCCUGUGCUGGAUCAGAAAACUGUGCAUGGCUGCCGAGGACAGGGACUGCCACCUCUUUCCCAUUUCUG
ensembl:misc_RNA Metazoa_SRP Metazoan signal recognition particle RNA